UCCGGGUGUUAAAAAGGGUUGUGACC
rnacentral:piRNA from 1 species